UUCCAGACUCCUACGGGAGGCAGCAGUGGGGAAUAUUGCACAAUGGGGGGAACCCUGAUGCAGCGACGCCGCGUGGGCGAGGAAGUAUUUCGGUAUGUAAAGCCCUAUCGGCAGGGAAGAAGAAAUGACGGUACCUGAAUAAGAAGCACCGGCUAAAUACGUGCCAGCAGCCGCGGUAAUACGUAUGGUGCAAGCGUUAUCCGGAUUCACUGGGUGUAAAGGGAGCGUAGACGGCGGCGCAAGUCUGGAGUGAAAGCCCGGGGCCCAACCCCGGGACUGCUCUGGAAACUGCGGCGCUGGAGUACGGGAGGGGCAGGCGGAAUUCCUGGUGUAGCGGUGAAAUGCGUAGAUAUUAGGAGGAACACCAGUGGCGAAGGCGGCCUACUGGACGGUGACUGACGCUGAGGCUCGAAAGCGUGGGGAGCAAACAGGAUUAGAUACCCGUGUAC
rnacentral:rRNA from 1 species